UCAGGACGAACGCUGGCGGCGUGCCUAAUACAUGCAAGUCGAACGGUCUUUCUAUGGAAGCUUGCUUCCACUGAGAAGAUAGUGGCGAACGGGUGAGUAACACGUGGGUAACCUGCCCAUAAGAGGGGGAUAACAUCCGGAAACGGGUGCUAAUACCGCAUAGUUUUCUUGAUCGCAUGAUUGGGAAAGGAAAGACGGCCUUUGUGCUGUCGCUUAUGGAUGGACCCGCGGCGUAUUAGUUAGUUGGUGAGGUAACGGCUCACCAAGACGAUGAUACGUAGCCGACCUGAGAGGGUGAUCGGCCACAUUGGGACUGAGACACGGCCCAAACUCCUACGGGAGGCAGCAGUAGGGAAUCUUCCGCAAUGGACGAAAGUCUGACGGAGCAACGCCGCGUGAGUGAAGAAAAGGUUUUCGGAUCGUAAAACUCUGUUGUCAGAGAAGAACAAGUUGGAGAGUAACUGCUCCAGCCUUGACGGUAUCUGACCAGAAAGCCACGGCUAACUACGUGCCAGCAGCGGC
rnacentral:rRNA from 1 species